AUUGAACGCUGGCGGCAUGCCUUACACAUGCAAGUCGAACGGCAGCACGGGUGCUUGCACCUGGUGGCGAGUGGCGAACGGGUGAGUAAUACAUCGGAACAUGUCCUGUAGUGGGGGAUAGCCCGGCGAAAGCCGGAUUAAUACCGCAUACGAUCUACGGAUGAAAGCGGGGGACCUUCGGGCCUCGCGCUAUAGGGUUGGCCGAUGGCUGAUUAGCUAGUUGGUGUGGUAAAGGCCUACCAAGGCGACGAUCAGUAGCUGGUCUGAGAGGACGACCAGCCACACUGGGACUGAGACACGGCCCAGACUCCUACGGGAGGCAGCAGUGGGGAAUUUUGGACAAUGGGCGAAAGCCUGAUCCAGCAAUGCCGCGUGUGUGAAGAAGGCCUUCGGGUUGUAAAGCACUUUUGUCCGGAAAGAAAUCCUUGGCCCUAAUACGGUCGGGGGAUGACGGUACCGGAAGAAUAAGCACCGGCUAACUACGUG
rnacentral:rRNA from 1 species